GUGGGGAAUAUUGCACAAUGGGCGAAAGCCUGAUGCAGCAACGCCGCGUGAGCGAUGAAGGCCUUCGGGUCGUAAAGCUCUGUCCUCAAGGAAGAUAAUGACGGUACUUGAGGAGGAAGCCCCGGCUAACUACGUGCCAGCAGCCGCGGUAAUACGUAGGGGGCUAGCGUUAUCCGGAAUUACUGGGCGUAAAGGGUGCGUAGGUGGUUUUUUAAGUCAGAAGUGAAAGGCUACGGCUCAACCGUAGUAAGCUUUUGAAACUAGAGAACUUGAGUGCAGGAGAGGAGAGUAGAAUUCCUAGUGUAGCGGUGAAAUGCGUAGAUAUUAGGAGGAAUACCAGUAGCGAAGGCGGCUCUCUGGACUGUAACUGACACUGAGGCACGAAAGCGUGGGGAGCAAACAGG
rnacentral:rRNA from 1 species